GUGCACCAGUCGAGAAUUUUUCUCAAUGGGCGAAAGCCUGAAGGAGCGACGCCGCGUGGAGGAUGAAGGCCUUCGGGUUGUAAACUCCUGUCAUUUGAGAACAAGUGUCGGCAAGUAACUACUGCCGACUUGAUAGUAUCAGAAGAGGAAGGGACGGCUAACUCUGUGCCAGCAGCCGCGGUAAUACAGAGGUCCCAAGCGUUGUUCGGAUUCAUUGGGCGUAAAGGGUGCGUAGGUGGCGCCAUAAGUCAGGUGUGAAAUUUCGGAGCUUAACUCCGAAACUGCAUUUGAUACUGUGGUGCUUGAGGACUGGAGAGGAGACUGGAAUUUACGGUGUAGCAGUGAAAUGCGUAGAGAUCGUAAGGAAGACCAGUGGCGAAGGCGGGUCUCUGGACAGUUCCUGACACUGAGGCACGAAGGCCAGGGGAGCAAACGGGAUUAGAUA
rnacentral:rRNA from 1 species